ACUCCUACGGGAGGCAGCAGUGGGGAAUAUUGCACAAUGGGGGACCGACUGAUGCAGCAACGCCGCGUGGAGGAUGACACAUUUCGGUGCGUAAACUCCUUUUAUAUAGGAAGAUAAUGACGGUACUAUAUGAAUAAGCGCCGGCUAACUCCGUGCCAGCAGCCGCGGUAAUACGGAGGGCGCAAGCGUUACUCGGAAUCACUGGGCGUAAAGAGCGUGUAGGCGGAUCGAUAAGUCAGGAGUGAAAUCCUAUGGCUCAACCAUAGAACUGCUCUUGAAACUGUCAAUCUAGAGUAUGGGAGAGGUAGAUGGAAUUUCUGGUGUAGGGGUAAAAGUCCGUAGAGAUCAGAAGGAAUACCGAUUGCGAAGGCGAUCUACUGGAACAUAACUGACGCUGAGACGCGAAAGCGUGGGAGCAAACAGGAUUAGAUACCCUGGUAGGUCAGU
rnacentral:rRNA from 1 species